rnacentral:lncRNA from 1 species
CAAAGCCGCUGCCUCCACUGCCAUAACCAACGCCAUAGCCAUAUCCCAUAGGCUUAACUGUGUGAUCAGGCUUCUCUAUGCCAUCAAUCUUCUCUUUGUCAUUAAGCUUCUCUUUGUAAUUAGGCUUGACUAUAUGAUCAGGCUUCUCUAUGUCAUCAAUCUUCUCUUUGCCACCAUCAUUAAGCUUCUCUUUGUAAUUAGGCUUUACUACAUGAUCAGGCUUCUCUAUGUCAUCAAUGUUCUCUUUGUCACCAUCAUUAAGCUUCUCUUUGUAAUCAGGCUUUACUUUAUGAUCAGGCUUCUCUUUGUCAUCAAUCUUCUCUUUGCCACCAUCAUUAAGCCUCUCUUUGUAAUUAGGCUUUACUAUAUGAUCAGGCUUCUCUAUGUCAUCAAUCUUCUCUUUGUCAGCAUUAAGCUUCUCUUUGUAAUUAGGCUUUACUAUAUGAUCAGGCUUCCCUAUGUCAUCAAUCUUCUCUUUCCCACCAUCAUUAAGCUUCUCUUUGUAAUUAGGCUUUACUUCAUGAUCAGGCUUCUCUAUGCCAUCAAUCUUCUCUUUGUCAGCAUCAUUAAGCUUCUCAUUGUAAUUAGGCUUUACUUUAUGAUCAGGCCUCUCUAUGUCAUCAAUCUUCUCUUUACCACCAUCAUUAAGCUUCUCUUUGUAAUCAGGCAUUACUUUAUGAGCAUGCUUUUUUUCAGGAUCAGGUUCUUCUAGCUCACGCCACAUGGAUUGCAGUUUAUGAUCAGGCUUGACCUUGUCCUCAGGCUCUUCUGGUUCACCCCACCACGCGGACUGCGGAUUAUGGCCAGGCUUGACUUUGUGGUCAGGUUCUAGACUGAACAAGCCAUGAUCUUGCUCCCUCAAACUAACCUUCCCAGGCUUCACUACAUGGUCUAGAUCCUUAAGAAUCCUGCGUGCGAAAGUUGAACUGAAGAAACAUAGUAAGAGGACAAAUCCAAAGCAUUUGCCUUGGUGUCCCUUUGCCAUUUUAUUUUCUAGAAAAUAAGUUGAUUCUGCUGUACAUUCCCGAGUAAAGAACCACCUCAUGGUUUUAUAGUAUAUUAGAUUUUACUUUAAACAAAACACAUCCCUUAAACGCAAAGUGCCUUUGCUGAAAAUACGCAAGAAAUAAAGGGAUUCACAAACUUAGCAUGAAGAAUAUUAAGGAGAUUUUCUGGGAUAACACAAAUUGUAUGUUUACCAACUUCAAGUUUUGAAAACUUAUUAAGAUGAUUUGCCCAACAAGAAAGUACUCCAUCC